GAAAUAUCUAUGAAGUUUGUCAACUUGAAAAGCAAAUCAAGAUGUCAUACAAGAUGUUUCAACAUCUCUAUCAUCCCUUUGAUUUACUAUAUAUGGACUUUAGGAAACUCAAGCAAGGAGUUGUCUUUGAAGGGAAGGUUGAUGGUCAGGCUGGAGGUCCUCCCAACCCUGAACAACCAAUAGUGAGUCAGAAGAAGAAGCUAGAGAAGAAUAAGGAUUAUGGAAUUCCU
rnacentral:lncRNA from 1 species